CUCUCGGCCUGCUUGGAAUUUCCCAGCUCUAUCGUGUCAGAUUGCACAUCCCGGACAGUAUAUGCCGGUCAAGGGGGGUGAAUAAAAAGUCUCAAUAGCAUUCUUUUGUAAUACUUAAAAGGAGGGCUGUGGGGCUGAAAAGAAAGAGAAGAAAGAGAAAUGUCGCCUCCCUUCUUUUCCAGUUUUCAAGAUGUGCAAGAUACUGAAGAGAUGGCAGUACAGAUGGGAAUACAAAUUUUGACUCUUUUUUUCUGGAGCUCCCUUGUUUUUGCAUGCAGUAUUGUAAGAACUUUCCAUAAUCUACAGCAGACUAGACCACAUCUAGAUCAUCUUGCCCCUUAAUGCUGUCACCUUAAAGGCUACAAAAGCUCAAAAAGAAGCUUCCAUGGGAAACCAAAGAUAAAGAGAAGUUUGGGAG
ensembl:lncRNA